GGUGCGAAAGCAUGGGGAGCAAACAGGAUUAGAUACCCUGGUAGUCCAUGCCGUAAACGAUGUCUACUAGCCGUUGGGGGAUUUGAUCCUUUAGUGGCGCAGCUAACGCGAUAAGUAGACCGCCUGGGGAGUACGGUCGCAAGACUAAAACUCAAAUGAAUUGACGGGGGCCCGCACAAGCGGUGGAGCAUGUGGUUUAAUUCGAUGCAACGCGAAGAACCUUACCUGGCCUUGACAUAGUAGAAACUUUCCAGAGAUGGAAAGGUGCCUUCGGGAAUCUACAUACAGGUGCUGCAUGGCUGUCGUCAGCUCGUGUCGUGAGAUGUUGGGUUAAGUCCCGCAACGAGCGCAACCCUUUUCCUUACUUGCCAGCAUUUCGGAUGGGAACUUUAAGGAUACUGCCAGUGACAAACUGGAGGAAGGCGGGGACGACGUCAAGUCAUCAUGGCCCUUACGGCCAGGGCUACACACGUGCUACAAUGGUCGGUACAAAGGGUUGCUACCUCGCGAGAGGAUGCUAAUCUCAAAAAGCCGAUCGUAGUCCGGAUCGCAGUCUGCAACUCGACUGCGUGAAGUCGGAAUCGCUAGUAAUCGCGGAUCAGAAUGCCGCGGUGAAUACGUUCCCGGGCCUUGUACACACCGCCCGUCACACCAUGGGAGUUUGUUGCACCAGAAGUAGGUAGUCUAACCGCAAGGAGGA
rnacentral:rRNA from 1 species